GUGAACGCUGGCGGUAGGCCUAACACAUGCCAGUCGAACGGCAGCACAGUAAGAGCUUGCUCUUACGGGUGGCGAGUGGCGGACGGGUGAGGAAUACAUCGGAAUCUACUUUUUCGUGGGGGAUAACGUAGGGAAACUUACGCUAAUACCGCAUACGACCUACGGGUGAAAGCAGGGGGUCUUCGGACCUUGCGCGAUUGAAUGAGCCGAUGUCGGAUUAGCUAGUUGGCGGGGUAAAGGCCCACCAAGGCGACGAUCCGUAGCUGGUCUGAGAGGAUGAUCAGCCACACUGGAACUGAGACACGGUCCAGACUCCUACGGGAGGCAGCAGUGGGGAAUAUUGGACAAUGGGCGCAAGCCUGAUCCAGCCAUACCGCGUGGGUGAAGAAGGCCUUCGGGUUGUAAAGCCCUUUUGUUGGGAAAGAAAAGCAGCAGGUUAAUACCCCGCUGUUCUGACGGUACCCAAAGAAUAAGCACCGGCUAACUUCGUG
rnacentral:rRNA from 1 species